CGGAUAUUGAAAAAAAUGUAGCGUUGCAUUGAGUGGCCACUGCUCGCGCAAGUAACGUUUUGCCGUUUCCUGGUGGACCAAACAAUAAUAGUCCUCUUGCUGGCGUUCGCAGGCCAGUGAACAAUUCUGGUCUCAACGAAGAAUUUCGUCAAGAAUAACUUGGGCAAGUUUUGGAUCCACACCCUUUAACAGAGGUACUUUUCUCGUAGGUGUACCUCUGUUACUAUUCGACGCGGUAGGUGUUCCAGGUCUUCUUAUAGGUGACCCAUUUCCAGGAACGGAUAACUUCCUUCCGGACGCUAUAACAAUAUCAUACAGUCAACGAGGUGCAAGAUGCGGAAAUGGGAAAAUAAAACUCGCUAUGAAUAUACUCGAAUGCAAAUUCUCAAUAAAUCUAAUAUGUAUAGAAGAACUAUCGCAAAGAAUAAAGUACAAGACAAAUAUGUUGAAGCAGAAAAUUAUAUUCUCAACAUAAUCGAAGUUUAUAUAAAAAAUUUAUGAUGCAUCGUUCGUGAUAAUAACAUGUAACACGGACAUACAUUACAUUAUUAAUGUUUUGCAAGUCUAUUGGUAUGUUAUUGUUAAGAAUCUAUAUAUACAUAUUAAACACUUCAGUGCAAUACUUGAACAUUGUAUAUAGUGUGUUAAAGUAAAUACAUGUAUGCCUUUUUAAGAAACAAAUUUAUUUUAAUUCUAAUUCAGUUUAGCUUUCACUUUAUUGGAGUAGAAAUUAAAAUAAUAGUUUUUAAAAUAUUUUUUACUACAAAAUUUUCAAUCUCUGAAUAAUGCAUAUACUCGUGCAUGUUGUCUAAUUUAUUAUAGAUAUAUAUUAUAGAUAUAUAUGUACGAUAAAUAGUCCUACCUUACUAAAAGUUUUAAUUAACUAAAUACUAUACUAGAUUAUUAUGCUAUAGCAAAACUACUAUAAUUGCAACAGUCAAUAUAACAUAGCUACAUUUACUACUGUUUGAACUACAUAAAAAAAUAGUACGAGUGCAUGUGUCAAUGAAAUAGAAAACUAAUAUUUUUAGAGAAGCGACUAUUACAAAUAUCAUAUGAAAAAAUUUGCAAUAAAAAGUUUGCAUGUAAGCCCAGAACUUCAGACAA